GUAUACAAAAAUGUUGUCUGUGGUAAUGACAACUAGAAAUGGUGAAGUUUGGGAGUCAUUUGUAAAAAUGUUGCCUGUGGUAAUGACAACUAGAAAUGGUGAAGUUUGGGAGUCAUUUUAACAAAUGUUGUCUGUGGUGAUGACAACUAGAAAUGGUAAAGUUUGUGGGUCAGUAUACAAAGAUGUUGUCUGUGGUAAUGACAACUAGAAAUGGUGAAGCAUUGUAAACAUAUUGAAUUAAGUACCUUUUUGUUAGGCUCUCUCUUCUAACUGAAAAU